GGGGUGGUGGCGCAGUUGGCUAGCGCGUAGGUCUCAUAAUUCUGAGGUCGAGAGGUCGAGAGUUCGAGCCUCUCUCACCCCA
rnacentral:tRNA from 1 species